GGAUACGAUCAUACCAAGUCACAUGCACUAGAUCAAAUCAGAAUUCCGAGGUUAACCGAGUUUGGGUGAGAGUAGUAUAGGGUUGGGUGACCUCCUAGGAAGUCCUCGUGUUGCAUCCC
rnacentral:rRNA from 2 species